UACGUAGGGGGCGAGCGUUGUCCGGAUUCAUUGGGCGUAAAGAGCUCGUAGGCGGCUUGGUAAGUCGGGUGUGAAACCUCCAGGCUCAACCUGGAGACGCCACUCGAUACUGCCAUGGCUAGAGUCCGGUAGGGGCCCACGGAAUUCCUGGUGUAGCGGUGAAAUGCGCAGAUAUCAGGAGGAACACCGGUGGCGAAGGCGGAUCUCUGGGCCAUUACUGACGCUGAGGAGCGAAAGCGUGGGGAGCGAACAGG
rnacentral:rRNA from 1 species